CUGCUCUGAAUCUGUUUUUAGCACAGAUUGAUCUGUAAUAAGCACUGCUCUGGAGAGCUGCCUAUAACACACAUUUUCGCAUACGCUCUCUGAAAGGUAACUAUCUUCCACAAUAAAAUAGUUGGCACUUAUUCUUUGUCCAAAAUGAUCAACAACUGCUUUGCAUCGUCCCGAUUCUUUGUCCACUACAAGGCACUGCACGGAAUGGCGAAGACAAU
rnacentral:lncRNA from 1 species